UAUCAACAAAAGCUUCCAAACUUUCCUUCUGUUCAAACUGUUAUAAAUUCCCUCUUAAGGAUUGUAAUUCUAAAUUAACCUUUUUUCUCACAACAAUGUUGGUUUGUUGUGCCCUAAAUCCUAAUGUGAGAGUGAAAAAGACGGUCAACAAUAUAAUGUACAUUUCACAAACAUUUUGUGUUUCGAUUGAAUCCUUUCUGAUUGAUGUCAAUCCAAUAAUUCAGGAUUCAAACCAACAUUUGAUGAUAGGUACAGACGUAGGGGAACAAUUAUUUGUAUAGUAUUAAUCAUGACACUUUUAUUUUCUUAGGUUACACUGGAACAACCUCUUCAAGUGACGAGGACAGUGUGGUUUUUGCAAAGUUGCCAUCUGGAGACAGUCUUGCUGACACCGUGGUCAGUUUGGAUCUAUCGUGGCAUUUAUUCUUAAUUAAAGUGAAUUUAUUUUAUUUCAGUCAGUCAUUUGUGUGUUGUAUGCAGGUGUGGGACUUUCCAAAUGAACAGAGCACUCCCAGAAUGGACAACAGUUUGCCAGGACCUCUCAGGCACCCACAACCAGCGUCUGAUCGGGAUGGAGAACCAACCCCAUUCCAGGAAGAGGUCCAGUCUGCCCCGGGUCAGAACACCUUCUAUAGGUAAACGAUGUUGACAGUUGCAUCGUGACACAGUUGUUUGCAACUACACAACUGUGUAUGCACUUAUCAUUAUUGACAGCCAGUCUGAGCCAGAAGAGGAAACGGAGCAAACUGCAGAGGAAAUGUAUUAAAUGUUACUUUUAUCACUUGAUUUUUUUAUUCUAUACUGUAAAUCUUAUUAUAGCUUCAUCAUUUAAUAUUACAAUACAUCACUUUGUCUUUCCCAGCACAGAAUACCUGA